rnacentral:rRNA from 1 species
CGUGCCUAACACAUGCAAGUCGAACGGACGAGGGGAGCUUGCUCCCCAAGUAGUGGCGGACGGGCGAGUAACACGUGAGCAACCUGCCCUUCGGAGGGGGACAACAGCUGGAAACGGCUGCUAAUACCGCAUGAUGUAUCCUGGAGGCAUCUCCGGGAUACCAAAGAUUUAUCGCCGAAGGAUGGGCUCGCGUCUGAUUAGAUAGUUGGUGGGGUAACGGCCUACCAAGUCGACGAUCAGUAGCCGGACUGAGAAGUUGAACGGCCACAUUGGGACUGAGAUACGGCCCAGACUCCUACGGGAGGCAGCAGUGGGGAAUAUUGGGCAAUGGGGGGCAACCCUGACCCAGCAACGCCGCGUGAAGGAAGAAGGCUUUCGGGUUGUAAACUUCUUUGACGAGGGACGAUAGUGACGGUACCUCGAAAACAAGCCACGGCUAACUACGUGCCAGCCGCCGC